rnacentral:rRNA from 1 species
AGAGCGAACGCUGGCGGCAGGCCUAACACAUGCAAGUCGAGCGCCCCGCAAGGGGAGCGGCAGACGGGAGAGUAACACGUGGGAACGUACCCUUCAGUUCGGAACAACCCAGGGAAACUUGGGCUAAUACCGAAUACGUCCGUAAGGAGAAAGAUUUAUCGCUGAAGGAUCGGCCCGCGUCUGAUUAGCUUGUUGGUGAGGUAAUGGCUCACCAAGGCUACGAUCAGUAGCUGGUCUGAGAGGAUGAUCAGCCUCACUGGGACUGAGACACGGCCCAGACUCCUACGGGAGGCAGCAGUGGGGAAUAUUGGACAAUGGGCGCAAGCCUGAUCCAGCCAUGCCGCGUGGGUGAUGAAGGCCCUAGGGUUGUAAAGCCCUUUCGGCGGGAAGAUAAUGACGGUACCGCAGAAGAAGCCCGGCUAACUUCGUGCCAGCAGCCGC